UACGUAGGGCGCAAGCGUUGUCCGGAAUUAUUGGGCGUAAAGAGCUCGUAGGCGGCCUGUUGCGUCCGCUGUGAAAUCCCGGGGCUUAACCCCGGGCGUGCAGUGGAUACGGGCAGGCUGGAGGCAGGCAGGGGAGAACGGAAUUCCCGGUGUAGCGGUGAAAUGCGCAGAUAUCGGGAGGAACACCGGUGGCGAAGGCGGUUCUCUGGGCCUGUACUGACGCUGAGGAGCGAAAGCGUGGGGAGCGAACAGG
rnacentral:rRNA from 1 species